CGGCGAGAGGAAAGGUCAGCACUGCUACUGCACUCAUUUGCUCCACUGAUUCAACCUUGUGAAUCUUUCAACUGGACAUUUUCUGCACUCACAUUAAACAUCGUGUUGGAGAUGCAUCUGUCCACUCUUAUCCUGCUGCUAGUUCUGUUUGCUGCACUGCCCACUGAUGGUCAAAACGAAGCAACCUUCAUUAGAAAACAUAUAAAGCUUGACAUGACUCCAGCAAACUGUGACAAGGAAAUGGAAGAAA